rnacentral:lncRNA from 1 species
AUGCUGUGGUUAGGCUACAGCGCCUAUGUGUUUCUUCAUAGGUUUGGGAGAAACCCAAUAACAGGACAUGGUGGAGUAGUAAGUAGGUUAACACCACCAUCCAUCUAUAGCUGUAGUAGAGUUCUCUGUAUGUUAACACCAUCAUCCAUCUAUAUCUGUAGGUUAACACCAUCAUCCAUCUAUAGCUGUAGUAGAGUUCUCUGUAGGUUAACACCAUCAUCCAUCUAUAUCUGUAGGUUAACACCAUCAUCCAUCUAUAGCUGUAGUAGAGUUCUCUGUAGGUUAACACCAUCAUCCAUCUAUAGCUGUAGUAGAGUUCUCUGUAUGUUAACACCAUCAUUCAUCUAUAUCUGUAGUAGAGUUCUCUGUAUGUUAACACCAUCAUCCAUCUAUAUCUGUAGGUUAACUACAUCAUCCACCUAUAGCUGUAGUAGAGUUCUCUGUAGGUUAACACCAUCAUCCAUCUAUAGCUGUAGUAGAGUUCUCUGUAUGUUAACACCAUCAUCCAUCUAUAUCUGUAGGUUAACACCAUCAUCCAUCUAUAGCUGUAGUAGAGUUCUCUGUGAGUUAACACCAUCAUCCAUCUAUAGCUGUAGUAGAGUUCUCUGUAGGUUAACACCAUCAUCCAUCUAUAUCUGUAGGUUAACACCAUCAUCCAUCUAUAGCUGUAGUAGAGUUCUCUGUAGGUUAACACCAUCAUCCAUCUAUAGCUGUAGUAGAGUUCUCUGUAUUUUAACACCAUCAUCCAUCUAUAUCUGUAGGUUAACACCAUCAUCCACCUAUAGCUGUAGUAGAGUUCUCUGUAGGUUAACACCAUCAUCCAUCUAUAGCUGUAGUAGAGUUCUAAGUAGGUUAACACCAUCAUCCAUCUAUAGCUGUAGUAGAGUUCUCUGUAGGGUAACACCAUCAUCCAUCUAUAGCUGUAGUAGAGUUCUCUGUAGGUUAAUACCAUCAUCCAUCUAUAGCUGUAGUAGAGUUCUCUGUAGAUUAACACCAUCAUCCAUCUAUAUCUGUAGGUUAACACCAUCAUCCAUCUAUAGCUGUAGUAGAGUUCUCUGUAGGUUAACACCAUCAUCCAUCUAUAGCUGUAGUAGAGUUCUCUGUAUGUUAACACCAUCAUCCAUCUAUAUCUGUAGGUUAACACCAUCAUCCACCUAUAGCUGUAGUAGAGUUCUCUGUAGGUUAACACCAUCAUCCAUCUAUAGCUGUAGUAGAGUUCUCUGUAUGUUAACACCAUCAUCCAUCUAUAUCUGUAGGUUAACACCAUCAUCCACCUAUAGCUGUAGUAGAGUUCUCUGUAGGUUAACACCAUCAUCCAUCUAUAGCUGUAGUAGAGUUCUCUGUAGGUUAACACCAUCAUCCAUCUAUAUCUGUAGUAUAGUUCUCUGUAUGUUAACACAAUCAUCCAUCUAUAUCUGUAUGUUAACACCAUCAUCCAUCUAUAUCUGUAUGUUAACACCAUCAUCCAUCUAUAGCUGUAGUAGAGUUCUCUGUAUGUUAACACCAUCAUCCAUCUAUAGUUGUAGUAGAGUUAUCUGUAUGUUAACACCAUCAUCCAUCUAUAGUUGUAGUAGAGUUCUCUGUAUGUUAACGCCAUCAUCCAUCUAUAGUUGUAGUAGAGUUAUCUGUAUGUUAACACCAUCAUCCAUCUAUAUCUGUAUGUUAACACCAUCAUCCAUCUAUAUCUGUAGGUUAACACCAUCAUCCAUCUAUAGCUGUAGUAGAGUUCUCUGUUUGUUAACACCAUCAUCCAUCUAUAGCUGUAGUAGAGUUAUCUGUAGGUUAACACCAUCAUCCACCUUUAGCUGUAGUAGAGUUCUCUGUAGGUUAACACCACCAUCCAUCUAUAUCUGUAUGUUAACACCAUAA